AGAGGGAGGGGGUGUCCUCGGUGCCCGGGGUGCCCCCGGGUCCUGCAGUGCCCGGUGUCCCCGGUGCCCGGUUACCGGUACCCGGUACCCGAUUCCCAGUGCUCGGUGUCCCAGUUCCCCGGUUCCCCAGUGUCCCCAGUCCCUGGUUCCCGGUGCCCGGUCCCUGAUUCCCGGUGCCCCGGUGCCUGAUCCCCGGUGCCCAAUUCCCAGUGCCCGGUACCCGGUUCCCAGUGCCUGGUGCCCAAUCCCCGGUGCCCCAGUGCCCGGUUCCUGAUGCCCAGUUCCUCGGUUCCCCGGUGCCCUAUUCCCGGUGCCCUAUUCCCGGUACUCGGUGUCCCAGUUCCCCAGUGUCCCCAGCCCUGGUGCCCGGUUCCCAGUGCCCAGUCCCUGAUUCCCAAUUCCCGGUGCCCAAUUCCCAGUGCCCAGUUCCCCGGUUCCCCAGUGUUCCCAGUGCCCGAUCCCUCGUGCCCAGUUCCUCAGUUCCCCAGUGCCCAAUUCCCAGUGCCCGGUACCCGAUUCCCAGUGCCCGGUGCCCCAGUUCCCCAGUGUCCCCAGCCCUGGUGCCCGAUUCCCGGUGCCCGGUACCCGAUUCCCAGUGCCUGGUGUCCCUGGUGCCCAGUUCCCAGUGCCUGGUCCCCAAUUCCCGGUGCCCCGGUGCCCGGUCACUGAUUCCCAACCCCCGGUGCCCCAGUGCCUGGUUCCUGAUGCCCAGUUCCUCGGUUCCCCAGUGCCCGAUUCCCAGUGCUCGGUGUCCCAGUCCCCCAGUGUCCCCGAUCCCUGGAGCCCGGUUCCCGGUGCCCGGUUCCCAAUUCCUCAUCCCCUGGUGCCCAAUUCCCAGUGCCCGAUUCCCAGUGUCCGGUACCCGAUUCCCAGUGCUCGGUGUCCCAGUUCCCCAGUGCCUGAUCCCCGGUGCCCGAUUCCCAGUGCUCGGUGUCCCAGUUCCCCAGUCCCCCAGUGCCCCUGAUUCCUGGUGCCCAGUUCCUGAUACCCAGUAUCUGGUGUCCCCGGUUCCCUAGUGCCUGAUCCCUGGUGCCCAAUCACCAGUGCCCAGUACCCAAAUCCCAGUGCUCAGUGUCCCGGUUCCCCAGUGUCCCCAGCCCUGGUGCCCAGUGCCAGGUUCCUCGUCCCCCAGUGCCCAAUUCCUGGUGCCUGGUUCCUUGGUUCCCCAGUGUCCCCAGUGCCUAGUUCCUGAUUCCUGGCGCCUGAUUCCCGGUUCCUGGUGCCUCGUUCCCUGGUUCCCAGUUCCCAGUGCCCAGCGGUGCUCUGGGGCCUUGUCCCCUGUGGCCCUUGCUGCCCGGUGCAGCACCGAGCACGGCCGCGGGCUCCCGGUGCCUCCUCGGGGCUGCCAAACCCCCCCGGUGACUCCCCCACUCCUCACGGGGAGCAGGCUCGGGGACACCUCCUGCCCCCGGGGUGCCGGUGCUGUGGGUGCAGGCGUGGGCCACCAAAAUGGGCGUUUGGCUGCUGGAAAUGGGAACCAAAAGGGCAGGGGGCAACCCGGACCCUCACGAGUCCUGGGGCUGCCCGCGGGUGUGUGCCAGGCAAGGAAUCGCCCCCCAGGACCCCCGGUCUGAGGGCAGGGUCUCAGGGCACGGGGCUGCUUUGUGAGCCGGGGACGGGGCCUCGUGUGGGGACCCCCGGGGACCCCCUUGUGUGGGGCCAGCGUUUGGGGCUCGUCCCCACGUCCCCUGUGCCGCAGGGGUUGUCCCUUCACGGGGCGCAUUGCGCACACACAGGGUGCCUUCCUCCUGCCGUGACCCCCCCCCCCCCCCCUGCCCCCCCCCCCAGAGCAUCGCCGAGUAC
rnacentral:lncRNA from 1 species